AGCUUAGUAUGGAAACUUACUAAGUGAUAACUUUCAAACUCAGAGCGACUUUAUAAAUCGUGAGGGUUCAAGUCCCUCUAUCCCCAAAAAAGCG
rnacentral:tRNA from 1 species